GGGGCGGACGGGAGGACUGGAGGACCGAGGACAGGAAGAUUGGUGGACAGGAGCAGCGACCGGUGGGGAGGGCGCUCGGCGGCGGCCUGCGGCCAUGGCCACCGUGAUGGCAACGACGGCGGCGGAGCGGGCGGUGCUGGUAAGGCGCGCGGGCCAGCGGGCGGGCCGGCGGGGCGGCGGGGCCGGGCGUGACCGCCGGGUCUGUCCCGCAGGAGGAGGAGUUCCGCUGGCUGCUGCACGACGAGGUGCACGCUGUGUUGAAGCAGCUGCAGGACAUCCUCAAGGAGGCCUCUCUGCGCUUCACUCUGCCGGGCUCCGGCACUGAGGGGCCCGCCAAGCAAGAGAACUUCAUCCUAGGCAGCUGUGGGUGAGCCUGGGCUAGGCGGAAACCGGGGAAAUGGGUACCUUGGGGGGUAGGAGGCAUGGCCAUAGCCCUGUCCUGCAGACCAGCUGGUUGUGCAAUGGGACAGGAGGGGCAGCCCGCCGGGAGGGAGGGCUGGGUGGUGGGGGGGUGACCACAGGCACCUCUCUGACGCC
rnacentral:sRNA from 1 species